ACAACUUCGCUUUUCUAUUUAAAGUUACUAAAUUCUACUCAUUUAUCCUGCCUUAAGAACAUUAAUUCACCUAAGUAAUGUACUGGACUGCAGAGU